rnacentral:rRNA from 1 species
CGCGGCCUAUCAGCUUGUUGGUGAGGUAACGGCUCACCAAGGCAUCGACGGGUAGCUGGUCUGAGAGGACGAUCAGCCACACUGGGACUGAGACACGGCCCAGACUCCUACGGGAGGCAGCAGUAGGGAAUCUUGCGCAAUGGGCGAAAGCCUGACGCAGCAACGCCGCGUGGGGGAUGAAUGCCUUCGGGUUGUAAACCCCUUUCAGCAGGGACGAAAAUGACGGUACCUGCAGAAGAAGCUCCGGCCAACUACGUGCCAGCAGCCGCGGUAAUACGUAGGGAGCGAGCGUUGUCCGGAAUUAUUGGGCGUAAAGAGCUCGUGGGCGGUUCAGUAAGUCGGGUGUGAAAACUCAAGGCUCAACCUUGAGACGCCACUCGAUACUGCUGUGACUUGAGUCCGGUAGAGGAGUGUGGAAUUCCUGGUGUAGCGGUGAAAUGCGCAGAUAUCAGGAGGAACACCAGCGGCGAAGGCGGCACUCUGGGCCGGUACUGACGCUCAGGAGCGAAAGCGUGGGUAGCAAACAGGAUUAGAUACCCUGGUAGUCCACACCGUAAACGUUGGGCACUAGGUGUGGGGCCUUAUCAACGGGUUCCGUGCCGCAGCUAACGCAUUAAGUGCCCCGCCUGGGGAGUACGG